UACGAAGGGUGCAAGCGUUACUCGGAAUUACUGGGCGUAAAGCGUGCGUAGGUGGUUGUUUAAGUCUGAUGUGAAAGCCCUGGGCUCAACCUGGGAAUGGCAUUGGAAACUGGCGACCUAGAGUGCGGUAGAGGGUAGUGGAAUUCCCGGUGUAGCAGUGAAAUGCGUAGAGAUCGGGAGGAACAUCUGUGGCGAAGGCGACUGCCUGGACCAGCACUGACACUGAGGCACGAAAGCGUGGGGAGCAAACAGG
rnacentral:rRNA from 1 species